CAUAUCAUCAGUUGUAUAUUUCAUUCCGUUCACAUUUAAGAUAAUACUUAGGCUAUGUUUGGUAUGGCUGGGCUUUUCAAAAAAGCUGGCUUCUGCUUAUUUCUGAGAAUAAGUGGCUGAAAAGCAAAGUAGCUGAGUGUUUGGUAAACUGGCUUUUUAUAAGAGCUGUCAGUAGCAAAAGCUGUGGCAAAGUGUUUGGUAAACUCAAACUGGCUUGUGCUUUUUGUUUGUGGAAUGACCAAAUUGGACAUGAGAAAUUAUUGGGGGGUGAAAUUUGCACCCCCAAAUUUACAAACUACACCCCAUUUUGUUUUUUUAAUAGUAUUUCAUGUCACCUAUUUUUACACUUCCUAAAACACCCUCAAGGUCAGAUUUUUUUUCUUUUUCUUUUUGGGUCUUUUCUUCUCUCUGUCCCCCUCUCUUCCAGACCACCACCAAGGGCCUCUUUCUCCCGUCUGCACGGUGCAUGCUACCUAAUCUGUCUCUAUCUCUCUCCCUCAGGGUCCUCUGUGGUAAAUCCUUCGAGUCUCGCCCAGAAAACCCAAAUCAAUUUCCCCCAAAUUUUUGUCUCAGAAUUUUGGUUGCAGACGGGGAUCGAUCUCGACCGGUUUAAAUGACGGCGGUGAGAAUAGACUCUAGGAUGCUAAAGCGAAUCAAGAGAAGGCCCCGGUCCGCCUGGGACGUCGGCCCCUCCGAGUACGAACCAGAGGCGCAACGGCCAUUAUUGGCGGGUAAUCAAGCGAAUGGAAGAAAUGGUUCGCCUCCGAAACGAGACGAUGAUUACGAUUAAGCAUGAGGUGGAUGUGCUUAAUCGUAUUGCCAAGAAUGAUACUAGCAACUCAUGCUGUGUGCAGAUUCGCGAUUGGUUUGAUUACGGCAAUCACAUAUGCAUAGUGUUUGAGAAGCUUGGACCAAGCUUAUUUGAUUUUCUGAAAAAAAAAAAAAAAAAAAAGGGGCCUCUCAUUCGUUGAUAGGCUGAGUUUCAAUUUCACUCUAAUGGAGUUAUUAAUGUUCAAUUCUUUUGAUUGUUGUUCUUAAAUUUCGUACUUGGAGGAAACAGGGGAAAUGGAAAUGUAAAAGGGAGCUUCUGGUCUUGAUUUUGAUUGAUUUUUAAAGGGAUGAUGAGGAACUAAGGAGGACUGCAUGAUGCACCAGGUCAUUGAGACUAUUGUCUCGGCAGAAAUGGUACAGGGGGAACUGACAGAAAAGAAGAUGGGUAUUCCUAAUCCAGCAUGCCGAGUGCAUGCUACCUAAACGCAGAGAAUGAAGCAAAGGAGAUCGAAAUCACGACCUGCAGGUUUUGGAGCUUGAUGUGGCUCCAGAUCUGCUUCACGGCUUCUCUUGGGCUUGAUCGCGUCGGCGUCUGCUUUGGGCUUCGCCUUCGCCUUCGAUUUUGGUGCUGCGGCGGCGGCGACCUUGACGGCGGUUCCAGCAGUGGAUGUGGAGGACUUGGCCGGCAGUGGGAAGAAGAACGGGGACCUUGGUGGUGGUCUGGAAGAGAGAGGGGGGAGGGUGUUUUAGGAAGUGUAAAAAUAGGUGACAUGAAAUACUAUUAAAAAAAUAAAAGGGGGUGUGGUUUGUAAAUUUGGGGGUGCAAAUUUCACCCCCCAAAUUAUUUUGCCUUGACUAUUCGGUAAUAUAAUGUUGUUCAAAUGCUCUUGUUAUUA